AGAGUUUGUAGUCCUCGGCUCAGGAUGAACGCGUCGGCGGGCGUGACCUAACACAAUGCAAGUCGAACGGACUCAUAACUGAAACCUAAGUGAUCUAUGAGUUAGUGGCGGAACGGGUGAGUAACGCGUGGAUAACCUGCCGUAUACCGGGGAGUAACACUUAGAAAUAGGUGCUAAUACCGCAUGAGCGCACAGCUCCGCAUGGAGCGGUGUGAAAAACUCCGGUGGUAUACGAUCGGAUCCGCGUCUGAUUAGCCAGUUGGCGGGGUAACGGCCCACCCAAAGCGACGAUCAGUAGCCGGCCUGAGAGGGUGAACGGCCACAUUGGGACUGAGACACGGCCCAGACUCCUACGGGAGGCAGCAGUGGGGAAUAUUGCACAAUGGGGGAAACCCUGAUGCAGCGACGCCGCGUGAGUGAAGAAGUAUCUCGGUAUGUAAAGCUCUAUCAGCAGGAAAGAUAAUGGCGGUACCUGACUAAGAAGCCCCGGCUAACUACGUG
rnacentral:rRNA from 1 species